GCUAGCUAAAAGAGUGCUGUGUUGCAGGUGUUUGUAUAGUGCGGAUGAUUUAAUCCAUUAUGAAGGAGCAAUGCAGCAAAUCAAAACUUGAUUUUGAACAGGAUCUGCAAGGGUGCCCAGGGGAGUUCCUUUAGAGCAAAUCAAAUUGAAUGGAUGACUUCAGUCCAACACACAUGGACCAACAGAGGUUUGAGCCAAUGUGCAACAUGCUUCUGCAGUGCCCUGCCCGGCCCUGCCUGAGGAGACCUCUGGGUAACAAAAACAGGCUUGUUUUUUAUUUUUAUGGUGUAUUAAUAAAAAGUAAUUGGAG